rnacentral:tRNA from 1 species
GGGAGGGUCGCAUAGCGGCAAUUGCAGCGGAUUGUAGCUCCGCUCCUUCGGGUUCCUGGGUUCGAGUCCCAGUCCUCCCAC